GAUGAACGCUAGCUACAGGCUUAACACAUGCAAGUCGAGGGGUAACAAGAGGAAAGCUUGCUUUUCUUGUUGACGACCGGCGCACGGGUGAGUAACGCGUAUCCAACCUGCCUAUAACUAGGGAAUAACCUUGCGAAAGUAAGACUAAUACCCUAUGAUUUCCUUUGAUGACAUCAGAUUAGGAAUAAAGAUUUAUCGGUUAUAGAUGGGGAUGCGUCUGAUUAGCUUGUUGGCGGGGUAACGGCCCACCAAGGCAACGAUCAGUAGGGGUUCGGAGGGGAAGGUCCCCCACAUUGGGACUGAGACACGGUCCAAACUCCUACGGGAGGCAGCAGUGAGGAAGAUUGGUCAAUGGGCGGAAGCCUGAACCAGCCAAGUAGCGUGCAGGAUGACGGCCCUAUGGGUUGUAAACUGCUUUUAUACAGGAAUAAAGUUAGCCACGUGUGGUUAUUUGUAGGUACUGUAUGAAUAAGGACCGGCUAAUUCCGUGCCAGCCGCCGCCGUAACAC
rnacentral:rRNA from 1 species